ACUCCUACGGGAGGCAGCAGUGGGGAAUAUUGCACAAUGGGCGCAAGCCUGAUGCAGCCAUGCCGCGUGUGUGAAGAAGGCCUUCGGGUUGUAAGCACUUUCAGUCGUGAGGAAGGUGGUAGUGUUAAUAGCACUAUCAUUUUGACGUUUAGCGACAGAAGAAGCACCGGCUAACUCCGUGCCAGCAGCCGCGGUAAUACGGAGGGUGCGAGCGUUAAUCGGAAUUACUGGGCGUAAAGCGCAUGCAGGUGGUUUGUUAAGUUCAGAUGUGAAAGCCCGGGGCGUCAACCUCGGAAUAGCAUUUGAAACUGGCAGACUAGAGUACUGUAGAGGGGGUA
rnacentral:rRNA from 1 species